ACUAUUUUGGCAGAAUUUGAGUGCAGUGGAUUUAGGAUCUAAAUAUAUGAUUAAUUUCAUAGGUAGUA
rnacentral:tRNA from 1 species